GGCGUUGUAGAGGUCCUCUAGCACUGGCCACCAGGACCCUGUCAAGUAAUCAACUCCAUGUCUGGGCACACAGGAUGAAAAAGUUGUUACAGCUUGCAUUUAAUAUUGAAGUCACUGAUGGCCUGCCAGUAGUUCUCAUGGACAGAGAACCACUCACAGUCUCCAGGACCAAUGUUGAUGUUCACCGAGCAAAAAUAUAGAGCAGUGUCCUUUACCUGGUGUACGGCUCCCUGGAACCUUCAUGUAGAGCUGGACAGUAUUCAUGCCUAGGAUUGUAUGCCCGACAUGGCUCAGCAUAUUGCCACUGGAUGCUACACGCAUAAAAGCUGGCAGCUUCUGCAACUCUUGAAGCUGGGGCUUCCACCUGAGCAGAGAGACAACAGGUCAAUGUUGGUGCCAAAUUUAAUGACCUUCCCUACUGGUUUCUGCUCACCACUGAGGAAUAGAGUUGUCCUUGCUGGGAGUAUCAGAACUGUUGGAUGGUUUCUUCUCAUCGUCGUCAUCCUCCUCCUCAUCACUGCCUUUCUCCUCCUGAACACACAGAUUACAACAUGUGUAUCAACUGGAUUGCAGCUAAAACCAUUAAACUGAUACAAUAGUAUACAGUGGAGAAAUAUAAGUUUUAACAGUAUCACACAUAGUAUGAGGCUCUCUACCUGCAGACUCUCUUGGAAGCUGGAGGCCUGGUACUGGGCAUACUUGGCAAUGGUGGUGUGGGAGCGGCUGCUCUCACAGGGCCACGUCUGACCUGUCCCACUGGGGUCCCAGUUC